UACAGAGGGGGCAAGCGUUGUUCGGAAUUACUGGGCGUAAAGGGCGCGUAGGCGGCCUGCUAAGUCGAACGUGAAAUCCCUGGGCUCAACCCAGGAACUGCGUCCGAUACUGGUUGGCUUGAAUCCGGGAGAGGGAUGCGGAAUUCCAGGUGUAGCGGUGAAAUGCGUAGAUAUCUGGAGGAACACCGGUGGCGAAGGCGGCAUCCUGGACCGGCAUUGACGCUGAGGCGCGAAAGCAUGGGGAGCGAACAGG
rnacentral:rRNA from 1 species